rnacentral:rRNA from 1 species
GACGAACGCUGGCGGCGCGCCUAACACAUGCAAGUCGAACGAGCGAGAGAGAGCUUGCUUUCUCGAGCGAGUGGCGAACGGGUGAGUAACGCGUGAGGAAUCUGCCUCAAAGAGGGGGACAACAGUUGGAAACGACUGCUAAUACCGCAUAAGCCCACGGUGCCGCAUGGCACAGAGGGAAAAGGAGUAAUCCGCUUUGAGAUGGCCUCGCGUCCGAUUAGCUAGUUGGUGAGGUAACGGCCCACCAAGGCGACGAUCGGUAGCCGGACUGAGAGGUUGAACGGCCACAUUGGGACUGAGACACGGCCCAGACUCCUACGGGAGGCAGCAGUGGGGAAUAUUGCACAAUGGGGGAAACCCUGAUGCAGCGACGCCGCGUGGAGGAAGAAGGUCUUCGGAUUGUAAACUCCUGUCGUUGGGGAAGAUAAUGACGGUACCCAACAAGGAAGUGACGGCUAACUACGUGCCAGCAGCCGCGGUAAAACGUAGGUCACAAGCGUUGUCCGGAAUUACUGGGUGUAAAGGGAGCGCAGGCGGGAAGACAAGUUGGAAGUGAAAUCUAUGGGCUCAACCCAUAAACUGCUUUCAAAACUGUUUUUCUUGAGUAGUGCAGAGGUAGGCGGAAUUCCCGGUGUAGCGGUGGAAUGCGUAGAUAUCGGGAGGAACACCAGUGGCGAAGGCGGCCUACUGGGCACCAACUGACGCUGAGGCUCGAAAGUGUGGGUAGCAAACAGGAUUAGAUACCCUGGUAGUCCACACCGUAAACGAUGAUUACUAGGUGUUGGAGGAUUGACCCCUUCAGUGCCGCAGUUAACACAAUAAGUAAUCCACCUGGGGAGUACGACCGCAAGGUUGAAACUCAAAGGAAUUGACGGGGGCCCGCACAAGCAGUGGAGUAUGUGGUUUAAUUCGACGCAACGCGAAGAACCUUACCAAGUCUUGACAUCCCUUGACAGACAUAGAAAUAUGUUUUCUCUUCGGAGCAAGGAGACAGGUGGUGCAUGGUUGUCGUCAGCUCGUGUCGUGAGAUGUUGGGUUAAGUCCCGCAACGAGCGCAACCCUUAUGGUCAGUUACUACGCAAGAGGACUCUGGCCAGACUGCCGUUGACAAAACGGAGGAAGGUGGGGAUGACGUCAAAUCAUCAUGCCCUUUAUGACUUGGGCUACACACGUACUACAAUGGCGUUAAACAAAGAGGAGCAGGACCGCGAGGUGGAGCAAAACUCAGAAACAACGUCCCAGUUCGGACUGCAGGCUGCAACUCGCCUGCACGAAGUCGGAAUUGCUAGUAAUCGUGGAUCAGCAUGCCACGGUGAAUACGUUCCCGGGCCUU